rnacentral:rRNA from 1 species
GACGAACGCUGGCGGCGUGCUUAACACAUGCAAGUAGAGCGGAGCGGCGAACGGGUGAGUAACGCGUGAGUAACUGCCCCCUCGCUGGGAUAACAGGUGGAAACGGCUGCUAAUACCGGAUAGUUGGGGAUGACUCGCGUCCUAGCGGCUUGUUGGUGGGGGAGUGGCCUACCAAGGCGACGACGGUUAUCCGGCCUGAGAUGGCGACCGGCCACAUUGGGCUGAGAUACGGGCCAAACUCCUACGGGGGGCAGCAGUGGGGAAUAUUGUCCAAGGGGUGAAACCCGGAUGCAGCACUCCGCGUGCGGGAUGACGGCCUUCGGGUUGUAAACCGCUUUCAGCCAUGACGCGGUAGUGGCAGAAGAAGCACCGGCUAACUACGUGCCAGCCGCCGCGGUAAUAC